GGCAGCUACUUCAUUGCUAGUCUCACCUGUGCCUUUCAACUUGAUGUCAUUGGAGUUCAAGGUAAGUGAUAGGUCGAGGGAAACUGGUAUUGGACCCUGUUGUUUUUGAAGCUUAGCAAGAUUUGUGAGAGAGGAAGCCGGGGUGCUGUUGUCCUUGGAAGGAUCAGGCGAUGGUUCUUGCAAAGAUACACUGGAUGCUACUUUGCUG
rnacentral:misc_RNA from 1 species